AGCCGAUGAAGGACGUUACUAACGACGAUAUGCUUUGGGUAGCUGUAAGUAAGCGUUGAUCCAGAGAUUUCCGAAUGGGGGAACCCAGCAUGAGUUAUGUCAUGUUAUCGACAUGUGAAUUCAUAGCAUGUCAGAAGGCAGACCCGGAGAACUGAAACAUCUUAGUACCCGGAGGAAGAGAAAGAAAAAUCGAUUCCCUGAGUAGCGGCGAGCGAAACGGGAGGAGCCCAAACCAACAAGCUU
rnacentral:rRNA from 1 species